AUUGUUAUCUUACUGAGCUAUUUUUGGAGUUUUCUUUUUAACAGCUUUCUUGUGAGUGUAUUCUAAAUUUCUCACAAUGUAAACCCCCAAAUUUCUUGUUUCAUCUUAUGCACUUGCAUUCUUGAUCAGUAUUUAGGAAUGAUCACCUUUAUCUUUCAUUCUAUUCAUUUCCAUUGGCGUGGCAAAUGAAGGCAUACACAACCCCCCAAUACCCUCACACACACACACACACUGACACCCGGUCACAAAAAUACAUAAAUUCUAGCUUAAUUGUGUAAAAUAUAAACUUUCAACUUCCACAAGAAGUCAGCAUCUUCUUUAACAUCGCAGCUCAGGACUCACCUGUGGGCGUGGAUGUCCUGUAACCAGACAGCUGCAUAAAAUUCCAUCUCAUGUACCACGUUGAGAAAAACGACUUAAUAGAAGGCACACUCUUAACCACCUGAGCGUGCACAUAACUCACUCACUGAGAGGAGACGCCUGCAAUGAGGGGCCCUCUAACCUUUGUUGACCCAAUUCGGCUUCCUUUGUCAAGGCCUUUUGGAACAACAUGCUUACCUUCCACUUCCUAACAAUGAAUUUCCCAGGAGAAAUAGCUGAAUUUCUUCAUGCAAUACUGGAAAGUUCAUCACACAUUUUAUUAAUCAAAUGUUUGCCUCAGAAAGACCUGUGAGUGCUGUACAGAGUACUCCAAUAUGAAGACACAUGUGAGGAAAAACAUAGCUCCCCUUCCUUGGGUAAGAAUGUGAUACAUAUAUGUGGGUUUUGAUUUGACAUUAGAUCCUCUAGAACAUCUUGACUUGUCUCUAAAUCAAGGUUGGG